AAUAAUAAAUAAAUAAAUGCAAACAAUUCUGCUUUAAGCUUUGCAUACAUCACAGUCAGUCUGCCAUGUUCAGAAAUAUGAGCCUGUCAGCAGGGCCCUUUCAGACAAUUAGAAAACCGUUAAGAUCACACCUCCUCUACCAGCGCCGAUGCAGCCAUGCCCCAAACAACCUCAACAGUAUUUUUGUAAGCCCUUCUCUCUGCCUCAGAUUAUAAUCUCCAAACUCAAGUCACUUUUAAAGGUAAG